CGGUCAAGCUAGAAAGGGCGCAGGGCGAAUGCCUUGGCACUGGGAGCCGACGAAAGACGUGAUAAGCUGCGAUAAGCUGCGGGGAGAUGCAAAUAAUCUUUGAUCCGCAGAUUUCUGAAUGGGGAAACCCACCGGAGCAAUACUCCGGUACCAUACACUGAAUCAAAUAGGUGUAUGGAGGGAACCGCCUGAACUGAAACAUCUAAGUAGGGCGAGGAAGAGACAUCAACCGAGAUUCCGUAAGUAGUGGCGAGCGAACGCGGAAGAGGCCAAACCUGGGGUAGAAAUACCGCAGGGGUUCGGACUGCUUUUAGGACUGCAACUGUUAGCCGAAUGGCAUGGGAAGGCCAUCCGGAGAGUGUGAGAGACACGUAGGCGAAAACGGGAGCAGCUGCGCAGUAUCCAGAGUACGGCCAGACACGUGAAACCUGGUCGGAAGACGGGGGGACCACCCUCCAAGCCUAAAUACUACCCAGUGACCGAUAGCGUAUAGUACUGUGAAGGAAAGGUGAAAAGCACCCCGGGAGGGGAGUGAAAGAGAACCUGAAACCCUGUGCCUACAAGCACAUAGAGCACGUCAAAGUGUGAUAUGGUACUUUUUGUAGAACGGUCCGGCGAGCGACUGUAUGCAGCAAGGUUAAGUUGCUGGAGCAACGGAGCCGAAGCGAGAGCGAGUCUGAACAGGGCGUUUAGUUGCAUGCAGUGGGCCCGAAACCGGGUGACCUAUCCAUGGUCAGGUUGAAGUGGAGGUAAAACUCCAUGGAGGAC
rnacentral:rRNA from 1 species